UACGUAGGGUGCAAGCGUUAAUCGGAAUUACUGGGCGUAAAGCGUGCGCAGGCGGUUUUGUAAGUUUGUCGUGAAAUCCCCGGGCUCAACCUGGGAAUGGCGAUGAAGACUGCAAGGCUAGAAUCUGGCAGAGGGGGGUAGAAUUCCACGUGUAGCAGUGAAAUGCGUAGAGAUGUGGAGGAACACCGAUGGCGAAGGCAGCCCCCUGGGUCAAGAUUGACGCUCACGCACGAAAGCGUGGGGAGCAAACAGG
rnacentral:rRNA from 1 species